rnacentral:piRNA from 1 species
UCCCAAAGAGGAAGCACUGAAAAGGACCUG